UACGAAGGGGGCUAGCGUUGCUCGGAAUCACUGGGCGUAAAGGGUGCGUAGGCGGGUCUUUAAGUCAGGGGUGAAAUCCUGGAGCUCAACUCCAGAACUGCCUUUGAUACUGAGGAUCUUGAGUUCGGGAGAGGUGAGUGGAACUGCGAGUGUAGAGGUGAAAAUUCGUAGAUAUUCGCAAGAACACCAGUGGCGAAGGCGGCUCACUGGCCCGAUACUGACGCUGAGGCGCGGACAGCGUGG
rnacentral:rRNA from 1 species